AGAGUUUGAUCCUGGCUCAGGACGAACGCUGGCGGCGUGCCUAACACAUGCAAGUCAAGGGGCUGCCCCGCAAGGGGUGGUCACUGGCGGACGGGUGAGUAACGCGUAGGUAAUCUGCCCCAAUCUCUGGCAUAACGUCGGGAAACCGGCACUAAUAUCAGAUGAGGUCCCGCAAGGGAUCAAAGCCUUCGGGUGGAUUGGGAUGAGCUUGCGUCUGAUUAGCUAGUUGGUAGGGUAAAGGCCUACCAAGGCAACGAUCAGUAGCUGGUCUGAGAGGACGAUCAGCCACACUGGAACUGAGAUACGGUCCAGACUCCUACGGGAGGCAGCAGUGAGGAAUUUUGGUCAAUGGGGGAAACCCUGAACCAGCGACGCCGUGUGUGGGAUGAAGGGGUUUGCCCUGUAAACCACUGUCGGAGGGGAAGAAAAGUCUCGAGUGGUCGAGACUGGGACUGUACCCUCAAAGGAAGGGUCGGCUAACUACGUGCCAGCAGCCGCGGUAAUACGUAGGACCCGAGCGUUGUCCGGAUUUACUGGGUGUAAAGGGUGCGCAGGCGGGCUUGUGCGUCGGAGGUUAAAUACAUCGGCUCAACCGAUGAAAUGCCUUCGAUACGGCAAGUCUUGAGUGCGAGAGAGGAUGGUAGAAUUCCUGGUGUAGCGGUGAAAUGCGUAGAUAUCAGGAGGAAUACCAGUGGCGAAGGCGGCCAUCUGGCUCGCAACCGACGCUCAGGCACGAAAGCGUGGGGAGCAAACAGGAUUAGAUACCCUGGUAGUCCACGCCCUAAACGAUGUAUGCUUGGUGUUGGACGCUAGACGUCCAGUGCCGGAGGUAACCCAUUAAGCAUACCACCUGGGGAGUACGAUCGCAAGGUUGAAUCUCAAAGGAAUUGACGGGGGCCCGCACAAGCGGUGGAUCAUGUGGUUUAAUUCGAUGCAACGCGAAGAACCUUACCAAGGCUUGAAGUGCCAUCCUCGAAAGGGGUAGACGGAUGAAAGUUCGUCGAAUGGUAGAGGUGCUGCAUGGCAGUCGUCAGCUCGUGCCGUGAGGUGUUGGGUUAAGUCCCGCAACGAGCGCAACCCCUAUCCUUAGUUGCCAACGGGUCAUGCCGGGCACUCUAGGGAGACUGCCCACGCAAGUGGAGAGGAAGGUGGGGAUGACGUCAAGUCAUCAUGGCCCUUAUGUCUUGGGCUACACACGUGAUACAAUGGCCGGUACAAUGGGCGAAGCCGCGAGGUGGAGAUAAUCCCAAAAGCCGGUCUCAGUUCGGAUUGGAGUCUGCAACUCGACUCCAUGAAGUUGGAAUCGCUAGUAAUCGUAGAUCAGCGCGCUACGGUGAAUACGUUCCCGGGCCUUGUACACACCGCCCGUCAAGCCAUGGAAGCUGGGGGCGCCCGAAGCCGGUAGCAAUGUCGUCGAAGGCGAACUCAGUGACUGGGGCUAAGUCGGAACAAGGUA
rnacentral:rRNA from 1 species